rnacentral:sRNA from 1 species
AUUUUCGAGAUCGUUGGUAUAUGAUAGCGAUCGAGCGGCACGCGUUGCGUGCAGCUCCCCGCUUCUCCUCCCUGAGCGGGUGCCUGUCGUUUUUCGAUUAGGCUGUUUGACCCGCCGUUCAACGGCGGGUUUUUUUAUGAGCCGGCCGAAUCCGCAGGUAC